GAUGAACGCUGGCGGCGUGCCUAAUACAUGCAAGUAGAACGCUGAAGGAGGAGCUUGCUCUUCUGGAUGAGUUGCGAACGGGUGAGUAACGCGUAGGUAACCUGCCUGGUAGCGGGGGAUAACUAUUGGAAACGAUAGCUAAUACCGCAUGACAACAGUUGUUGCAUGAUAACUGUUUAAAAGGGGCAACUGCUCCACUACCAGAUGGAGCUUCGUUGUAUUAGCUAGUUGGUGAGGUAACGGCUCACCAAGGCGACGAUCCAUAGCCGAACUGAGAGGGGGAUCGGCCACACUGGGACUGAGACACGGCCCAGACUCCUACGGGAGGCAGCAGUAGGGAAUCUUCGGCAAUGGACGGAAGUCUGACCGAGAAACGCCGCGUGAGUGAAGAAGGUUUUCGGAUCGUAAAGCUCUGUUGUAAGAGAAGAACGAGUGUGAGAGUGGAAAGUUCACACUGUGACGGUAUCUGACCAGAAAGGGACGGCUAACUACGUG
rnacentral:rRNA from 1 species